UCAACUGCUUCUGUGGCUGAAGUCUGA
rnacentral:piRNA from 1 species